rnacentral:pre_miRNA from 1 species
AAUAAAUGACGCUGUUGACUUUUUCUCACAUGUUUGACUAUUCGUCUUAUUCAAAAAAUUUACGUAAUUAUAAUUUAUUUUGAUAUGAGUUGUUUUAUUACUCAUAGUACUUUAAGUGUGAUUUAUAUCUUAUAUAUUUGUAAAAAAAAUUAAAUAAGACGAAUAGUCAAACAUGUGAGAAAAAGUCAACGGCAUCAUCUAUU